rnacentral:rRNA from 1 species
AUUGAACGCUGGCGGCAGGCCUAACACAUGCAAGUCGAACGAGUGGCGGACGGGUGAGUAAUGUCUGGGAAACUGCCCGAUGGAGGGGGGUAACUACUGGAAACGGUAGCUAAUACCGCAUACCAUCGGAUGUGCCCAGAUGGGAUUAGCUAGUAGGUGGGGUAACGGCUCACCUAGGCGACGAUCCCUAGCUGGUCUGAAAGGAUGACCAGCCAAACGGGAACUGGGACACGGUCCAGACUCCUACGGAAGGCGGAAGUGGGGAAUAUUGCACAAUGGGCGCAAGCCGAAGGCAGCCAUGCCGGGGGUAUGAAGAAGGCCUUCGGGUGGUAAAGUACUUUCAGUGAGGAGGCGUUACUCGCAGAAGAAGCACCGGCUAACUCCGUGCCAGCCGCCGCGGUAAUC